GGGUUGUGAGGUUAAGCGACUAAGCGUACACGGUGGAUGCCCUGGCAGUCAGAGGCGAUGAAGGACGUGCUAAUCUGCGAUAAGCGUCGGUAAGGUGAUAUGAACCGUUAUAACCGGCGAUUUCCGAAUGGGGAAACCCAGUGUGUUUCGACACACUAUCAUUAACUGAAUCCAUAGGUUAAUGAGGCGAACCGGGGGAACUGAAACAUCUAAGUACCCCGAGGAAAAGAAAUCAACCGAGAUUCCCCCAGUAGCGGCGAGCGAACGGGGAGCAGCCCAGAGCCUGAAUCAGUGUGUGUGUUAGUGGAAGCGUCUGGAAAGGCGCGCGAUACAGGGUGACAGCCCCGUACACAAAAAUGCACAUGCUGUGAGCUCGAUGAGUAGGGCGGGACACGUGGUAUCCUGUCUGAAUAUGGGGGGACCAUCCUCCAAGGCUAAAUACUCCUGACUGACCGAUAGUGAACCAGUACCGUGAGGGAAAGGCGAAAAGAACCCCGGCGAGGGGAGUGAAAAAGAACCUGAAACCGUGUACGUACAAGCAGUGGGAGCCUCUUUUAUGGGGUGACUGCGUACCUUUUGUAUAAUGGGUCAGCGACUUAUAUUCUGUAGCAAGGUUAACCGAAUAGGGGAGCCGAAGGGAAACCGAGUCUUAACUGGGCGUUAAGUUGCAGGGUAUAGACCCGAAACCCGGUGAUCUAGCCAUGGGCAGGUUGAAGGUUGGGUAACACUAACUGGAGGACCGAACCGACUAAUGUUGAAAAAUUAGCGGAUGACUUGUGGCUGGGGGUGAAAGGCCAAUCAAACCGGGAGAUAGCUGGUUCUCCCCGAAAGCUAUUUAGGUAGCGCCUCGUGAAUUCAUCUCCGGGGGUAGAGCACUGUUUCGGCAAGGGGGUCAUCCCGACUUACCAACCCGAUGCAAACUGCGAAUACCGGAGAAUGUUAUCACGGGAGACACACGGCGGGUGCUAACGUCCGUCGUGAAGAGGGAAACAACCCAGACCGCCAGCUAAGGUCCCAAAGUCAUGGUUAAGUGGGAAACGAUGUGGGAAGGCCCAGACAGCCAGGAUGUUGGCUUAGAAGCAGCCAUCAUUUAAAGAAAGCGUAAUAGCUCACUGGUCGAGUCGGCCUGCGCGGAAGAUGUAACGGGGCUAAACCAUGCACCGAAGCUGCGGCAGCGACACUAUGUGUUGUUGGGUAGGGGAGCGUUCUGUAAGCCUGUGAAGGUGUACUGUGAGGUAUGCUGGAGGUAUCAGAAGUGCGAAUGCUGACAUAAGUAACGAUAAAGCGGGUGAAAAGCCCGCUCGCCGGAAGACCAAGGGUUCCUGUCCAACGUUAAUCGGGGCAGGGUGAGUCGACCCCUAAGGCGAGGCCGAAAGGCGUAGUCGAUGGGAAACAGGUUAAUAUUCCUGUACUUGGUGUUACUGCGAAGGGGGGACGGAGAAGGCUAUGUUGGCCGGGCGACGGUUGUCCCGGUUUAAGCGUGUAGGCUGGUUUUCCAGGCAAAUCCGGAAAAUCAAGGCUGAGGCGUGAUGACGAGGCACUACGGUGCUGAAGCAACAAAUGCCCUGCUUCCAGGAAAAGCCUCUAAGCAUCAGGUAACAUCAAAUCGUACCCCAAACCGACACAGGUGGUCAGGUAGAGAAUACCAAGGCGCUUGAGAGAACUCGGGUGAAGGAACUAGGCAAAAUGGUGCCGUAACUUCGGGAGAAGGCACGCUGAUAUGUAGGUGAAGUCCCUCGCGGAUGGAGCUGAAAUCAGUCGAAGAUACCAGCUGGCUGCAACUGUUUAUUAAAAACACAGCACUGUGCAAACACGAAAGUGGACGUAUACGGUGUGACGCCUGCCCGGUGCCGGAAGGUUAAUUGAUGGGGUCAGCGCAAGCGAAGCUCUUGAUCGAAGCCCCGGUAAACGGCGGCCGUAACUAUAACGGUCCUAAGGUAGCGAAAUUCCUUGUCGGGUAAGUUCCGACCUGCACGAAUGGCGUAAUGAUGGCCAGGCUGUCUCCACCCGAGACUCAGUGAAAUUGAACUCGCUGUGAAGAUGCAGUGUACCCGCGGCAAGACGGAAAGACCCCGUGAACCUUUACUAUAGCUUGACACUGAACAUUGAGCCUUGAUGUGUAGGAUAGGUGGGAGGCUUAGAAGUGUGGACGCCAGUCUGCAUGGAGCCGACCUUGAAAUACCACCCUUUAAUGUUUGAUGUUCUAACGUUGACCCGUGAUCCGGGUUGCGGACAGUGUCUGGUGGGUAGUUUGACUGGGGCGGUCUCCUCCUAAAGAGUAACGGAGGAGCACGAAGGUUGGCUAAUCCUGGUCGGACAUCAGGAGGUUAGUGCAAUGGCAUAAGCCAGCUUGACUGCGAGCGUGACGGCGCGAGCAGGUGCGAAAGCAGGUCAUAGUGAUCCGGUGGUUCUGAAUGGAAGGGCCAUCGCUCAACGGAUAAAAGGUACUCCGGGGAUAACAGGCUGAUACCGCCCAAGAGUUCAUAUCGACGGCGGUGUUUGGCACCUCGAUGUCGGCUCAUCACAUCCUGGGGCUGAAGUAGGUCCCAAGGGUAUGGCUGUUCGCCAUUUAAAGUGGUACGCGAGCUGGGUUUAGAACGUCGUGAGACAGUUCGGUCCCUAUCUGCCGUGGGCGCUGGAGAACUGAGGGGGGCUGCUCCUAGUACGAGAGGACCGGAGUGGACGCAUCACUGGUGUUCGGGUUGUCAUGCCAAUGGCACUGCCCGGUAGCUAAAUGCGGAAGAGAUAAGUGCUGAAAGCAUCUAAGCACGAAACUUGCCCCGAGAUGAGUUCUCCCUGACCCUUUAAGGGUCCUGAAGGAACGUUGAAGACGACGACGUUGAUAGGCCGGGUGUGUAAGCGCAGCGAUGCGUUGAGCUAACCGGUACUAAUGAACCGUGAGGCUUAACCUUACAACGCCGAAGGUGUUU
rnacentral:rRNA from 1 species